GGAGCUUAACCAACCACAUGCGAGUUUGACCAGAGCCUCUUUAAGACUCUUAUUAGACAUUCUCUGGUUUGACUUUGCGUCCUGGGUCGAAAGCUACCAGCCAUCUGGACUAACAGUUACUGCUAUCUUAGCUUUUAAUUGUUGACAGAGAGUACUGUAGCCUAUAUAUGAAGGGGUAUCAUGUCAGUCUUACGCUGUUGUUCGCCGCUUGGUUUUGAAGGGUAUUUAGGUGAACUUGAAUGAAUGGGCUGGUCAGCUAUAUACUGUAAUUAGCUAGCACACAUUUUAAACGAAUUUCUGGCUAGCAGUCCGUAACAAUCCGUUGUCUGAUAUCAUCUAGCAGUGAGCUGUUCAUUUGUGCACGUUUAUAACCAUGGCGACAUGGAAUCUCACGCUACACUGCUCAAGGCUAUUUGUCUACAAUAGACUUUUUGCGCAGGUGGCAAAUCUGAGAGUAAGUUCUCAAUUUGCAUCCUAUCAUCCCACCAGCACUCUCCAAAGAAGAGACGGUGAGGCGAAACCAGACGUUAGGAAGCGGCGUAGCGUUCUCCCCAGCGCUGGUGAUCAACACAGGCCCGCCGUGUCCGGGACAUGGCAGGGGCAUCACGGGGCCGAAGACAUACCGGAGAUACCGGCCGUGAAAAAAGUUUGGAGGGCCGAUGCCCCGGGUCCCAGGGAGAGCCGACCCUGGGCUGAAGGAAGAGUGUCGUCUGAGCUCCAGAAACUCAGUCUGGACGACUUCCCUAAGGCGCGUGAAAAGGUCGGAAAAGACUCGAAAGAAGAGAGAAACAGCGAGACUUUGUUCGGGGUGUCGCCUUGUCUGCUGGCACUGACCCAGGGCAGGAGGCGGGCCCGGAGGUUAUAUGUGAAGGAGGGAGACGCGUCUAAACGGGCCUCGGUUCAGCAGGUGUGUGAAGAGGCCCACCGGAGGGGGGUGCAGAUACAGAGGGUCAGUAAAAAGGAACUGGAUAAGAUGUGUUCUGGAAGGGUCCACCAGGGCGUGUGUCUACAAGCCAGUCCUCUCACUUUCCUCUCCGAGGACGAGCCUUCGAAGCCCCCAAGCGCCGGCAGCGCCCCCCCCCUCUGGCUGGUCCUGGACGCGGUGCAGGACCCCAUGAACCUGGGAGCCAUCCUCCGCUCUGCAUACUUCCUAGGGGUGGACAGGAUCGCCAGCAGUCUUCACAACAGCUGUCCCCUGACACCCGUGGUGAGCAAGGCCAGCUCAGGGGUGAUGGAGGUCAUGGAGCUGUAUGGAUAUGAAAGCCUGGCUGAUAUGCUGAAGGUGAAGGUGUCUCAUGGCUGGAGGUGUGUGUCUCCAGGUGAAAGUGUCUCAGGGCUGGCAGGUGGUGGGGACAGUUGGGGCGGAGGGGCGGGGCUUCCCGGCUCCUGUGCUCUGUUGCUCAGAGUUCAGCAUGACCAGACCCACACUGCUGCUCAUGGGUGGAGAGGGGGGUGGUCUCUCUCCAGAGCUGUGCCUGCAGUGUGAGGUCCUGCUGACGAUCCCUCCCCUCAGAGCCCUGGUCCCCGGGGUGGAGUCCCUGAACGUGUCUGUGGCUACAGGCAUCUUGCUGCAUUCUCUUCUGUCGCCGCGGAGAGGAGGCCAGCGCUGAGCAGCCUCCCUGGUGCCUCACAGCCUCCAUGGUGCCUCACAGCCUCCCUGGUGCCUCACAGCCUCCCUGGUGCCUCACAGCCUCCCUGGUGCCUCACAGCUGGAGGUUCAGGCCAGUCAGUAGACCAGCCUGCUGACCGAAGAGAGGGAGAAAGGGGAGGAGGAAGAGGAGAGAGGGGGGCUACUCAAGGGCUGUGGAGAUGUGUCAACUUGUGUCCUGAAUUCAUGUGUUCACCACUGCAGACAGGCCAAUAUGUCUGCCCACUGUACAUCUGAAGUGUGUGUGGUGUUAGAAAAUAGCUAGCAUCAUCCAGGUGUCGCCCCAUGGACAAGCACAUCAUCCAGAUCUAUAGAACGCCAGCCCUCCAUACGUCUGCUGUAGGUGAAGUCUAUUAAAGGUUUUUACCUAAAUAUUUUGACUGCAUUUGGGAAUCGCAAAAAUCGGGGGGAGGACACCUAGAUGAAGGACGCAUUAGGGUAUAGGACACAUAGAUGAAGGACGCAUUAGAGGGUAUAGGACACAUAGAUGA